GUGAUUUCUGUCUGUCACACACCAUUGCUUGGACAACUGCCAUUGCAGUUCUCUUGGGCUUUAAUCUUUUCUAUUUUUUUUUUUUUGAGACAGGGUCUUGCUCUGUUGCCCAGGCUGGAGUACAGUGGCAUGAACAUAGCUCACUGCAGCCUUGACCUCCUGACUGAAGCAAUCCUUCUGCCUCAGCCUCCAGAGUAGCUGGGACGACAGGCAUGCACCACCACACCCUACUAAUCUUUUAAUUUUUUGUAGAGACAGGAUCUCCCUAUGUUGCCCAAGCUGGUCUCAAACUCCUGGACUCAAGCAAGCCUCCUACCUCGGCCUCCUGAAGUGUUGGGAUUACAGGCAUGAGCCACGGUGCACAGCAAGAGCUUUAACCUUAAUGACCAUUCAUUCUCUACCCCACAUUACCUACAACUGAUACAGCAUGCGAAGAGGGUCUUUGCUUACCCUUCACCUUCCACCAUGAUUGUAAGUUUCCUGAGGCCUCCAAGCCAUGAUUCCUGUUAAGCCUGCAGAACUUAACCCUGUGAAGUGGGCAUUAUAAUGAUCCACAAUUUCCAUGAGGGAGUUGAAGCCCAAUGGAGUUGAGCAACUUGCUGAAGGUCACACAGCUCGUAAGUCACAGAGCCAAGAUUCAAACCCAGACACUCAACUCCAGGAUCCACGUCUCUAUCUUUUUAAAGCCCAGUGACUCCACAAACCAGCUCAAAGCCACUCCGCUGGAUGAUGCCUAAGAUACCCUUCAGUCUUCAAGUGUGUCAGCCUAUGAGUAAUAGUCUGGUGUGUUGCUUGUUUAUUUCAGCAUAGUAGACAUCCUCAAUCGAAAUCCCACUGUCCAGCCUCCAGCACUCCAUGCAUGGGUGCAAGUGAGAGUGGUGGUAGGAAGAGCGAUGGAGAGGGCAUGUCUUCUGCAGAUCCUCGAUAAGUCUAAGUCCAGGCAGCUCACUCCAGUCCACUUCAACUAAAACCCAUGGACUCUUAUUUCAGGCUUUUGACUCUACUCCUACACCAUAAUCUCAGGAGGAGUAUAUUUUUCUAACCUCAACUCACAUAUUCACGGGGAAUAUGGGAGAGAAUUGUAGUAGUAAAGGUUAUCCUGGAUAUGGAGUGUCCCCAGAAUCCUGAUCACCCAACCUAUAGCCCUGUGCUGUCCAAUAUGGUGGCCACAUGUGGCUACUGAGCACUCAAAAUAUAUGGUGAGGCCAAACUGAGAUAUGCUGUAAGUGUAAAAUACACAACAGAUUUUGAUGACUUAGGAUGAAACUUAUAUGAUGUACUUGGAUCAGUCAAACUCAUAGAGACAAACUAGAAGAGCAGUUACUAGGGGCUGAAGGGAGGAUGGAAUGAGGAAUUAUUUUUUAAUGGGUACAGAGUUUCAGUUUUGAAAGAUAAAAAAGUUCUGGAGAUAAAUAGUGCAAGCAAUGUGAAUCUACUUAAUACCACUGAAUUAUACACUAAAAAAUGGUUGA
rnacentral:lncRNA from 1 species